UUGCGUAUUUGAUGACGAAAAUCCCAGCGAGCGAAUGGCAAAUAGGGUUCCAUAGGAGCAAGGAGUCGAUGUUCAGUUGUUGAGGAGGGAAAAUAUAAUCAGUAUUGAUCGGAAUCUCUUCCUUGUAUGGGGGAUUCAACAUCAAGAUUCAACUCAAAAAGAGGGAAAAUCGGCUGAGGGAGGGUAGAAUGGAGAAACCAGCAUAUCAAGAUGGGACAAGAGGAGCAAUGGCCUCAAGAACCUGGUCUGCUGGAUUUUUGAUAGAGAUGAAUUAAGGGGGUGUUUGGCUUAGAUUUUAUUGUUUUGGCUUAUGCUUAUAUUUUAAAGUUGCUUAUGCUUAUU
rnacentral:lncRNA from 1 species